rnacentral:rRNA from 1 species
UGAGGAAUAUUGGGCAAUGCCCGCAAGGGUGACCCAGCAACGCCGCGUGGAGGAUGAAUGUCGUAAGAUUGUAAACUCCUGUUAGAGGGGAAGAAUAGUACCGGUUGGACCGGUAUAUGACUGUACCCUCAGAGAAAGCCCCGGCUAACUACGUGCCAGCAGCCGCGGUAAUACGUAGGGGGCAAGCGUUGUCCGGAUUUACUGGGUGUAAAGGGCGCGCAGGCGGGAUAAAAAGUCAGUGGUGAAAUCCUACAGCUUAACUGUAGAACUGCCUUUGAUACUUUUAUUCUUGAGUUCGGGAGAGAGAGACGGAAUUCCAGGUGUAGUGGUGAAAUGCGUAGAUAUCUGGAAGAACACCAGUGGCGAAGGCGGUCAACUGGCCCAUAACUGACGCUCAUGCACGAAAGCGUGGGGAGCAAACA